AAACAUUUCAACAUUUAAAUUUUUUAUAAACUAAAUCAACUCUAAAUAUAAUAUAGAAAAAUACGGAAACGAGCCCCAAACAUCGGGGUGUCAUUAAGUCAUGAGCAUCUAAAACUAUAAACUAAGAUAUAUAAACUGUCUAACUGUCCAAAAGAAGAAAUGACAAAAGGAGUAACAAGGUCUUGUGGACGCUAGCAGCUACUUUGCAAUCUCCACAGAUAGUCGGCCUGAACUCAACGAUCGUCGCGCUCUAACUCACAUGUAUCUGCACAUAAAGUACAUGGUGUAGUAUGAGUACAACCACCUCAGCAAGUAAUAGAAAUAACUAAGAAACUGAGUAGUAGUGACGAGCUAAGUAGAAAAGUCCAAUUAUUUAUUUUCACAAUUUAAAAAUAAACAGAAAUAAACAGGUAAAUUCCAUCAACUCAAUAAAUGCUACAAAGAAAUUAACGAGUAAAAUGCAGCAACAACUAAAGCAAUGAAUCCUCAUAGCAAUGUCACUCUAUCACUCAGCACUCGGCUCUCGGCACUCGCACUCAGCACUCAACACUCAAUACUUAAUAGGUACCGGCGCUCACUGGGGGUGUUUACAGUCUCCGGAGAGGCUCCCAAAGCCCAAGCGCUAAGCAUGGACAACUCACGUGUUGCACGGACAACUCACGUGCUAUAAUAUCAAUCCCUGGAUCCGCACGGGCAACUCACGUGCUACGCGGACAACUCACGCGCUAUGAUAUCAAUACCUGGAUCCGCACGGACAACUCACGUGCCUCAAUCAAAUACCUCACAACAGGCCCUCGGCCUCACUCAGUCAUGUACCUCUCUAGCCUCACCAUCAUCAACAAAUAAGGGAAACACAGGCCACGUCAAGUAUCACAGCAUAUCAGCAAAAUAAUAGGUAUUAAGGUAAACAUGUACAAUAAUUUCUAUGACUGAGUACAAAUAAUGUGUGCAUGAAUAAAGCCUAAGCAUGAUCUCUAACAUGAAGGCUGACAAGUUCAACAACAAGUAACUACAUAAACACAGAUGAUGGCCAUGAGGACUCACGGGAUGGACCAAGUCUCAAUCCCUCGCGGUGCAAACUCACAUGCCCAUCACGUAGUGUGGGUAUCACCUCCAAACAAUCAUGUGAUAUCAAACCUUCGGGUUUAUACUCUCAAAGCCAGAGUUAAAAUUGUUACUUACCUUAACAGUGACAAAUCCUACUCCGGGAUGCCCUCGUCUCUGGACUCGGUCUCCAAAAGCUCUAAAUCUAACCAUAAUUAGAUUAAUACCAUCAACAUAGGCUAACGAAUCGAAUUCCACAAUAAAAAAUAUAAAAUAUGCCAAAAAUCUGAAACCAGCCAAAACACGACCCUCGGGCCCAUGUUUCGAAACUAGUCAACAAUGGAAGAAUCAAAACCCUCGUCCUCUCCCGAGUCUAACCAUAUAAAAUUUAUCAAUUUCACUUUGAAAUCAUCAAUCAAAUCCCAAAAACGAAGAUGUAUUCAUGAAAUAUAACCAAAACCGAGAAUAGAACAGUUACCCCAAUCUUUAUGGUGAAAAUUGCCUCCAAAAUCGACCCAAUCCGAGCUCCUUAACUCAAAAUAUGACCGAAUGAACAAACCCUUGUUUUAUAUAUUUUUCUGCCAGAUAUUCUGUCUCGUUUCUUAUGCCAAACGAUCCCUAAACUCCCUUUUUAUGCCUUUAAUGGAUUGCUUGUGAAAUUCUAGUCAAGUUAAGCUUUUGAAUCACUCAAUUUGACCUUAUAAUGAAGGAGAUAUGUUGGUUUCAAUAUUUGCACAUAGUGUAGAUUUUUAAAUACGCUGGCAGUGGCAAUUUUGUAAUUAAUCUGAAACAUCUAGCAACCUAAUUCUUAGUAAAAUGACCAUAAAUUUCUCAUACGAUGUCCGAGUUCGAUGAUUCUUUUUGCUACGGGUCCGUAAUUACGAUACGGAUCUAAUGAUUCAAUCAAAAAAAUAAAUCGGAGCUCAUUUGUUCAAUAUGAUAUCAUUUAUGCUUGAAGAAACGGCGUAGAAACAUAAGAAAAACGAGCGCAACAGAACCCAAAUCUAUCUGAAACUCACCCGAGGCCUUCGGGACCUCAACCAAUAAUUUCGACAAGUCAUAUAUCACUACCCGAACUUAGUCGAAUCUUUGGAACACCCAAAACAAUACCAAAACACCAAAUCAACCUAGGAUUCAAGCCUAAGAACUUCUAAAUUUUCAGCUUUCGCCAAUUCAAGCCUAAUUCUACUACGAACCUCCAAAUUACAUUCCGGACAUACUCCUAAGUCUAAAAUCACCCAACGAAGCUAAUCGAAUCAUAAAAUCCAAAUCCGAAUUCGUUUACUCAUAAGUCAACUUCCGGUUGACUUUUCUAACUUAAGUUUCUAACUAAGAGACUAAGUGUUCAUUUCACUCCAAAAGUACUUCGAACCCAAACCUACCAACUCGAUACAACUCAACAUAGCUGAACAACACAUAAAUAAACAGAAAUGGGAAAAACGGGGCUAUAACCCUCAGAACGACAGGCCGGGUAGUUACAUUUACACUUAACAUAUAAUCACUUAAGGAAGAAGCUAGAAUGUGUGGCAUCAAUCAUGGAAGUGGCACUGGAUUGUUGUGUUGAAUCUCCCUCUAGUAGGAUCGACAUGAAAGAUGUUGUAGGGAUGCUACAGAAGAUCAAGAUUUAACUUCUUGGACAUUGAGCAAGUUCUUAGAAACUUUUCUUCCAAAUUACUUGUUUGUUACCAAAUGUUUGCUAAAUUUUUGGGGUCAUGUAAAGAUUUUCUUCUGAUUUUAGCACAUGUGUUGUACAUGAUUAUGUUUUAGUUAAGAUAUGCUAGUAUCAGUGAGUACUACUAUUCCCUCUUCAAUAUAAUGAAAUACUCCAAAUAAGAUUUAUUGGGGGUAAGAAAACUGCUCAUUUUUAAGCAUUGCUUUCUAAAGUAGUUAACCACUUUCCAUGUCAAAUAACCAUCUAGUAUCUUUUUUGACAAUGAUGCCUAAGGUGGUUAUAGGGGAUCUUGAAUUCAUCAGUUUUCUUUGGUGCCUCAAGAUCUUGUCAAAAUCAUUGCCAGGAUGUAAUUUAACUACAGAUUGUAAUUUUUCCUGUUUCUUCAAUAUGGAAUGUUCUCAGGCAGUCUAAACCACAUAUUCCUUUGUGGGGAAAUAUACGGAAAAAAAUAUUGUACCUUUUAAAAUAUCUUAUUCUUUUUGGAGAGUUGUGUAGUACCCAUUGAUGAAGUAAUUCUUAAGUUUGGUCAGGCGAUUGUAUCUAUUGAUGCUCUUGUUGUCUUAAUUCUAGAGAAGAGAUAGUUAAUCAUGUCUUUGUAUCUAGUGAGAUAUUAUUUGCAGUCUGGAGAUAUAUGAAGAGGAAAGGUAUUGAAAUAGACCAGAAGUGGAACUAGCAGACUGUCUAUGAUCAAAAUGGAAGCAUACAGACCUAAGAUAAUUGUUGUAUUUUGAACACCCGCGGAGAAAAAUGUAGUUGCGACACUAACAAAAUAACUCUCCAAAAAUAUUAAUCAGAAUCAUUCAUUAUUUCAUUAUACGGACAUCAUCAAUAAUCUCCUUCAGUACAAGCAAACAAUUUUCAAAUAUUCAUUGAGAGAAAACCUUGAACACUUUGUGGGCAAGAAUUCAUGUGGUAAAAUGAAUUCUCCUAAAUGUUCACAAAGCUAGGUUUUAGUAAUUGAAUCCUAUAAAGGCAUCUAGUGUAUUGAAAACGACAACAUAAAGGAUAAAGUUCAUACCUGAGUAACUGCUUCCAACUGAUGAUUGGAAACACUUAAAAUGAAGCGCAAGUGCAAGUGCAAGUGCCAGGAAUGGAGGUGCGUGAUUACAAGUAGAGUAAUUUGAGAGAGAGAAAGAGUAGAGAAAGAAAAGCUGGGGAAUUGCAACGGUAGCUCCUAGCAUUGGUGUCUCCAGCUAAGUCAUUUCGUAAAAGAUGAAGGUCUGAUAAAAGCUGGGGAAUUUGCAAGGUCAUUUGAAUUCACCCUUUGAUUGUGCAAUUACUGACGGCAAACCAUGUAAAAGAUGUGAAAAGGUUCCCUGCAAUCAAUUCUAUUUUAGCACUUGUAUUUUACAUGUUUCUUUUUUA
rnacentral:lncRNA from 1 species